AGUGAAUGAGAAGUCUGUCCCCUACAGGGUCCCAAAUUGAGUUUUGAUGCAGUAACCUUGCAACUUGAGCUAAAACUGGUUUGCCUGUUCCAGAAGGCAUACCAGAUGUCCUCACCUGACCAUGGCAGUUUUCUGAAUUUGAACUGGCCGAGCCUGCGGGCUAAAACCUGCAUGGGCACUUCUACCUGGGCUGGCAGGUGGCUCAUCCCCCAGACAGAGAUGACUUUGUGGUGUUGCUUCCUGAAUAUGAAGAACUACCAUGGACUUUUCCUACAUAACAUUUAAAGCCAGCACACUGAGUAAGGGUGUAUGAGAAACAAGAAACACAGAGGGGUUGUUUAGAUAAACAGCAGUGAACAGCAUUUGACAAAGUGCCUCCCAGGUGACAUGCUCCUUUGGCAGAGGAGCCGGCUGAGGCAAGGUACAUCUCCGUCAGCCCUUCACACACCUGUGCUUCUCUUCUACCAAUCCAGCUGACACGCAGCACAGGGAUGCCUUUGAAUUUCACCCAUGCGAGUCCAAAAAAUAAAUUAAAGUUCUGUAUGACUGACUUGGACAAAUGUGCACCCUUGACUUGACCGCUGAUGACUUACAUAUCCCCUCAUAUGCCUGCGCUGAUGGGCAGACCCCCCGGGGCACUGUUGGCGUGCUGGUUGGCAGCACAGAGGCAUCUGUUUAAGAGCGUGGUGCAGAUGCAUCAUAGUUUAUUUCUUGUAACAAACAACCGCAGACCUGUGUAGCAUUUAAUUAAGGCACACUAGCAAAUUCUUCAAACAAAGAAGCCCCUACAGGCAAUGCCUGCAACAGAUGGUGCUCAGUGUACCCAGUUAGGCCAGGGUUCAACCAGAGCUGGCGCAGAACCUGUAUAGCCCUACUGCUUUGAUGUGAAAAGCACACUAAGUGAUGUGAGCUUGGGUCCAGGGCUAUGGUAGUAUGGUUAUCCAGCUCCCAAACUGACCCAUAAAUGAUAGUCAUGUAGAUGAGUUGCUGUUGGAAAUCCUUGAGCUGCAGGAGAUCAAAUCACCCUCUGGUUCAUGGAAAGUGUGAAGAUGUGACCAACAUUUCUAGGAGAAAGACAGGAGCAUUUCAAGGUGAACAGCAGUGCAUAACACCAGCUCAAAUGCAUUUCUUUAGCCACUCUGACUACCAAGGGUGAAGAGGAUGGGCUUGAACCAGGGAAAUCAAUAUCCUCAGCUGCCUGCAGCAAGAGCAGCCCCACUGGGCACCCCGGAGGUCUGGCAGGGCUCUUUUUCAGCUCCCUACCUUGGUAGGGAGGGCCUAAUGCUUUUGCUUAACUGAUGUUCAUAGUGUGCAUCCCAGCUGGCCGAGGCCUGAGUGUACUGUGGGAGUAUUUCACGGCAUCAGCAAGGGAAAGGGGAACAGCUGGGAGGUGGAUGCCACCUCUAAGGAGUGGUGGAGGGAAGCUGUGAGUUCUUGAGGGUGUUUGGCCAAGAGCCUGGUGGCUGCAUUAAGUGUAGCCCUUGGUAGGCCAUUUAUCAUAAACUGUGCAACCAGCCACUGAUCAACAGCAAUUACUGUUUUACAGCUUCCAAACAAUGUUAGUUGCAGGCUGUGUUUGCUGUCAUAAUGUAAAAACCAGGCAGUUAUAGGAUGAAAAAGAUACAGUCUUUGCAGGGAUUUUGUGCUUUUCUUUUAAAGUUAACAGGUGUUCCUGGUCACCCUGCAAAACCACAGUGAAAAUAUCUGCAUACCACUGAAAUGAAGCAACUCCAAACCAACCCCUGUGAAGAAAAUCCCAUCCUCUGCUUUUGUUUUGUAGAAAUGAAUGGGCAAAAAAAGCUUCAACUAUGGUUUUUCAUAAUGAUAGAGUGGGAGCUUUCACCACCGUCCCAGUUUUGGACUGCGUCUGACGCAGGCUCAUGGAGACAGGGGACUGUUAUUCGAGCUGUACACAGUUUCCUGGCCCUACAGCUCCAAAGGGGUGUCUGCGUGCCUUAGGACAGAUCUGAACCACCUCCAGACUCCAGAAGCUGUAUACUGAAAUACUCAGGUCUCUGAUUGUCAGAGGACUGCUCAAAGGUGAGAAGAUGAGCUCCCAUUUGG